AUUGAACGCUGGCGGCAGGCUUAACACAUGCAAGUCGAGCGGGGGGAGGUAGCUUGCUACCGGACCUAGCGGCGGACGGGUGAGUAAUGCUUAGGAAUCUGCCUAUUAGUGGGGGACAACAUCUCGAAAGGGAUGCUAAUACCGCAUACGUCCUACGGGAGAAAGCAGGGGAUCUUCGGACCUUGCGCUAAUAGAUGAGCCUAAGUCGGAUUAGCUAGUUGGUGGGGUACAGGCCUACCAAGGCGACGAUCUGUAGCGGGUCUGAGAGGAUGGUCCGCCACAAGGGGACUGAGACCCGGCCCAGGCGCCUACGGGAGGCAGCAGUGGGGAAUAUUAGACAAUGGGGGGAACCCUGAUCCAGCCAUGCCGCGUGUGUGAAGAAGGCCUUAUGGUUGUAAAGCACUUUAAGCGAGGAGGAGGCUACUUUAGUUAAUACCUAGAGAUAGUGGACGUUACUCGCAGAAUAAGCACCGGCUAACUCUGUGCCAGCCGCCGCCGUAA
rnacentral:rRNA from 1 species